rnacentral:lncRNA from 1 species
UUUCACCCUGCUCCAGGCAGCGUGGUCUGUAUGGCUCCGCCCUGGGCAGGAGGAGAAAGAAGAGGGCCAGGCACCACGUGCCUGCACUCUCCCUGGAUGCUGGAGGCUGCUCCGCCGUGGGCAGGAGGAGAAGGAAGAGAACUGGGUGCCGCCUGCCUGCACUCUCUCCGGAUGCUGGAGGCUGGAGGCAGUGAGGCAGCAACAGCGCGAGGGCGAGGCGACUUUGGAGCUGCCUCAUGCAGCGACCUCGCCUUCCGCUGCGCCUCCUCCCAGAACCCAAGAAGCCUGGAACCUGUGGCGUCCAGCCCUGAAAGGAGGAGACGGCAACCCAGCCGCGCUUUUGCCUGCACUCUCCCUGGAUGCUGGAGGCUGGAGGCAGUGACGCAGCAACAGCGCGAGGCGACUUUGGAGCGGCCUCAUAUAGCGACCUCGCCUUCCGCUGCGCGUCCUCCCAGAGCCCAAGAAGCCCGGAACCUGUGGCAUCCAUCUCUGAAAGGAGAAGACGGCAACCCAGCCGAGGCACUACUGGGUUGGGGUCUCCACGACCGAGCUGGUCUCAUCAAGUGGCGUCCAACAAGGGGCUCAAACCCGGGUUGAGGGGUUGCUGGAGCGACGGAGAACGUGGAACUACACUGGAGGACACCAGAGUACUCUUAAGCAAUCCCUUGGCCAAAACCAGCAACUGAUUUGGAUACCAUCAAGACACCUGAAAUCUUGUCAUGAGCCAGAUACUGAGGAAGAGAUUUUGGGAAGAACCCAAGGACCCCCCAGUUGCAGCCAUGUCAAGACUGACAAUAAGGAAGACAUCAGUCCCAGCAAGCAACAUUCAUCGGGCACAGCCACCCAUGUGGGGCCAGAUCAAGAAGUUGACACAGAUGGCGGAAGAAAAUCUGAAGAAAGCGGAUGACCAGCUACAAUGAGUAAUCUAAUGUCUGCAGAUGUGGAUCCCGAAUCCUGCGAGAAGUAGCCCACCAUGACGAAGCUGCCUUUGCUUUUAUCGCUUUGCAAAAACAGAAAAGGGGACAUGCUGGGAACAGGCCCUAAGCCUGUCAUAAACAGGCCUUAAACUGACCAUGAACAGGAUUUCUGCACGAAUGUGACGUGCUCCUGAUGGCUAUGACGCCCACUGCUAGAAGUUGUUAGUUUACUGGAGCAGGGUAGGGAACACCUGGCCCACCCGGAGCGGAAAACUGCUCAAACCACAAACAACAGCAUGAGUGGCCUGAGCCUUAACAACAUGUUUUUGCUGCAGAUAAUCGGCCAGAGACUGUUUCUCUACUCCUCUCUAAGUAUGCUUUGUUUUUCGUAAGGAAUGCUUUUAGCUAAUCUGUAACCUAUAGAAACAAUGCUUAUCACUGGCUUGCUGUCAAUAAACAUGUGGGUCAAACUCUGUUUGUGGCUCUCAGCUCUCAAGGCUGUUUUCCCCCUGAUUCCCACUUUGCACUUUAUUUCUGUGUGUUUGUCUUCAUUCCUCUAGCACCACUGGGUUGGGGUCUCCUUGACCAAGCUGGUCUCGGCACAUAUGCAUGUAUGCCCAGGUCCUGAAAUCAGCCUUGUGGAGCCUGUGGGUAGGAAAAGUCAACCCUCUGUGCAUGUAGGCCUGGAACCUGACCAAUACUGUAUUUUCCUACCACGUUUGGUUUCAAAUGUGGAAACUGCCCAUACGGACCUACUGCAUUUGUUUUUAAAAAUCCUCUGUAAGUGGACCUGCACAGUUCAGGCCCAGAUUGUUCCAGGAUCAACCCUACAGUAGAAAUCAAGUAUCUUUUUCAUUGUCUCUUGGGAUCUGCCUUUUCACCAAUAAAAUAUGAGGGCUGUUGGGAGCAGGCCCCCCCAAAUCUGGCCAUAAACUGUCCCCAAAACUGGCCAUAAACAAAAUCUCUGCAGCACUAUAACAUGUUCAUAAUGGCCAUAACGCCCAAGUUGGAAGGUUGUGGAUUUACAGGAAUGAGGGCAAGGAACACCUGGCCUGCCCAGGGUGGAAAACCACUUAAAGGCAUUCUUAAGCCACAAACAAUAGCAUGAGUGAUCUGUGCCUUAAGAACAUGCUCCUGCUGCAGUUAACUAGCCCAACAUAUUCCUUUAAUUCAGUCCAUCCCUUCGUUUCCCAUAAGGGAUACUUUUAGUUAAUUUAAUAUCUAUAGAAAGAAUGCUAAUGACUGGUUUGCUGUUAAUAAAUACGUGGGUAAAUCUCUGUUUGGGGCUCUCAACUCUGAAGGCUGUGAGACCCCUGAUUUCCCACUUGACACCUCUA